rnacentral:rRNA from 1 species
AAUCGAACCCGGAGAUAGCUGGUUCUCCUCGAAAUAGCUUUAGGGCUAGCCUCAUGGAUCAUUGAUGGGGGUAGAGCACUGAAUGUGCGCGGGGGCCACAAAGCCUACCAAACGCUAUCAAACUACGAAUACCAUACAAUGCAGACCAUGGGAGUCAGUCCGCGAGAGAUAAGUUCCGCGGGCAAAAGGGGAACACCCCAGAUCAACCGCUAAGGUCCCCAAGUUCACGUUAAGUGGAGAAGGAUGUGGAAUUGCACAGACAACCAGGAUGUUGGCUCAGAAGCAGCCACACAUUUAAAGAGUGCGUAAUAGCUCACUGGUCGAGUGAUUGUGCGCCGAAGAUGUCCGGGGCUAAACGUGACACCGAAGCGAUGGGUGCAUCUGAAAGGAUGCGCGGUAGAGGAGCAAUGUGCAGAGGCAGAAGCCGUAUCGAGAGGCACGGUGGACACUGCACAAGAGAGAAUGCCGGUAUGAGUAGCGAGAGGCAUGCGAGAAACAUGCCCGUCGAAAGCCCAAGGUUUCCUGGGGAAGGUUCAUCCGCCCAGGGUAAGUCGGGGCCUAAGCCGAGGACGGAAGUCGUAGGCGAUGGACAGCAGGUGUAGAUUCCUGCACUACCGAUGGAAUGAAGCAGUGACACAGAAGGAUAACUCGAGCAGGGUGAUGGUCAACCCUGUGCAAGCAUCAAGGUUGGGUUGUAGUGAAGUACGCAACCCUACAAGCUGAGGUGUGAUGCGGACCGAAAUUUCAGUAGGGAAGCGAGUGAGUUCACGCUGGCGAGAAAAGCUGCUAGUACAUCCAAAGGUACCCGUACCGGAAACCGACGCAGGUGGGCGAGGAGAGAAUCCUGAGACGAACGGGAGAACCCUUGUUAAGGAACUCGGCAAAAUGACCCCGUAACUUCGGGAUAAGGGGUGCCUGCGAGAGCAGGCCGCAGAGAAUAGUCACAAGCGACUGUUUAGCAAAAACACAGGUAUCUGCGAAAGCGAGAGCUGACGUAUAGGUGCUGACACCUGCCCGGUGCUGGAAGGUUAAGGGAACAUGUUAGAGCAAUCGAAGCAUCGAACCGAAGCCCCAGUAAACGGCGGCCGUAACUAUAACGGUCCUAAGGUAGCGAAAUUCCUUGUCGGGUAAGUUCCGACCCGCACGAAUGGUGUAACGACUUGUGAGCUGUCUCAACAGGGGGCCCGGUGAAAUUGAAGUAUGGGUGAAGAUGCCCAUUACCCGCGACUGGACGGAGAGACCCCGUAGAGCUUUACUGCAGCCUGAUAUUGAGUUUCGGUAACUGAUGCACAGGAUAGGUGGGAGUCUGAGAGACAUGGGUUUCGGCUCGUGUGGAGACGCUGUUGGGAUACCACUCUUCGGUUACUGAAAUUCUAACAUAGUUCUGUGAAACCAGAGGAUGGACAGUGUCAGGUGGACAGUUUGACUGGGGCGGUCGCCUCCGAAAGAGUAACGGAGGCGCCCAAAGGUACCCUCAGAAUGGAUGGAAACCAUUCGAAGAGCGCAAAGGCAGAAGGGUGCCUGACUGCGAGAUUGACAAAUCGAGCAGAGACGAAAGUCGGGCUUAGUGAUCCGGCGGUAUUGAGUGGAAAAGCCGUCGCUUAACGGAUAAAAGCUACCUCGGGGAUAACAGGCUGAUCUCCCCCAAGAGUCCACAUCGACGGGGAGGUUUGGCACCUCGAUGUCGGCUCAUCGCAUCCUGGGGCUGUAUUCGGUCCCAAGGGUUUGGCUGUUCGCCAAUUAAAGCGGCACGCGAGCUGGGUUCAGAACGUCGUGAGACAGUUCGGUCCCUAUCCAUCGUGGGCGUAGGAGUCAUGAGAGGAGCUGUUCCUAGUACGAGAGGACCGGAAUGGACGCACCACUGGUGCAACUGUUGUCGUGCCAACGGCAUAGCAGGGAAGCGAAGUGCGGAUGGGAUAAACGCUGAAGGCAUCUAAGCGUGAAGCCCACCUCAAGAAUAAGACUCCACAAUAGACCCCUGGAGGACUACCAGGUAGAUAGGUCAUCGGUGGAAGCGCUGUAAGGCGUGCAGCUUGAUGAUACUAAUCGGUCGAAAGCUUCAUUU